rnacentral:rRNA from 1 species
ACGGUCCCACCUGACCCCAUGCCGAACUCAGAAGUGAAACGCCGUAGCGCCGAUGGUAGUGUGGGGUCUCCCCAUGUGAGAGUAGGGAACUGCCAGGC